rnacentral:rRNA from 1 species
UACGUAGGGAGCAAGCGUUGUCCGGAAUCAUUGGGCGUAAAGCGCACGUAGGCGGAUUGUUAAGUCAGGGGUGAAAUCCUGGAGCUCAACUCCAGAACUGCCUUUGAUACUGGCAAUCUUGAGUCCGGAAGAGGUGAGUGGAACUCCUAGUGUAGAGGUGGAAUUCGUAGAUAUUAGGAAGAACACCAGUGGCGAAGGCGGCUCACUGGUCCGGUACUGACGCUGAGGUGCGAAAGCGUGGGGAGCAAACAGG